rnacentral:lncRNA from 1 species
UCUCAAGUAUAUAGAAUAUUUCGAGACUUGCUUACGUAAGAAUAUCUAUAUCAAUUCAGAUAAAUCAGUCACAUAACAAGUUGAAUACAAUAAAUAAUAAUGAAAAGGUAAACAUUGACUUUUGACAUCUAAGAAUGCAACGCUCCAAUCCAAUCCAAUCCAAUAUCUAAGAGAUUAAAUAGGGGUGAUUUAAUCCGAUCAUCUAAAUAUGCUUCCCC